ensembl:lncRNA
CUAGUAGACAGCUGGUGAACAGGUGUUACCUAGUGGACAGCUGGUGAACAGGUGUUACCUAGUGGACAGCUGGUGAACAGGUGUUACCUAGUGGACAGGUGUUACCUAGUGGACAGGUGUUACCUAGUAGACAGGUGCUACCUAGUAGACAGGUGCUACCUAGUGAACAGCUGUUACCUGGUGAACAGGCCUUACCUGGGUAACAUCUGGACAGGUACAGUACAGGUCCAGAUAAUUAUUCAGUGUUCUGACAGGUCACCCUCUGUGUAGACUACCAGCCAGAAGCAGCUGAUCAUUUAAUUAACAUAGGAAGCCUAAUUAUCCCAGCGCUGAACAUUUUGCCAAAUUAUCUGUUGCACUCGUUCUGAAUAAGCGAUAUUCGUAACACAUUAGAAACCUUGGAAUGUAUUUAAAAGCAUGUCCCCCUCGCUGGAGGAGGAGCUAGCCUACAGUUACCCUCAAGUCAAUGGGAGCGGCUAACAGAAAGCUAACCCCACAAACCCCCCUUCUGGAUGUAC